rnacentral:tRNA from 4 species
GCGGCCAUGGCGGAACUGGCAGACGCGCAGGAUUAAGGAUCCUGUCCGAAUUUACUCGGGUGGAGGUUCGAACCCUCUUGGCCGCAUCA